rnacentral:rRNA from 1 species
AUUGAACGCUGGCGGAACGCUUUACACAUGCAAGUCGAACGGCAGCACGGGGGCAACCCUGGUGGCGAGUGGCGAACGGGUGAGUAAUACAUCGGAACGUGCCCAGUCGUGGGGGAUAACGUAGCGAAAGUUACGCUAAUACCGCAUACGAUCUACGGAUGAAAGCGGGGGACCGUAAGGCCUCGCGCGAUUGGAGCGGCCGAUGUCAGAUUAGGUAGUUGGUGAGGUAAAGGCUCACCAAGCCGACGAUCUGUAGCUGGUCUGAGAGGACGACCAGCCGCACUGGAACUGGGACACGGUCCAGACUCCUACGGGAGGCAGCAGUGGGGAAUUUUGGACAAUGGGCGAAAGCCUGAUCCAGCCAUUCCGCGUGCAGGAUGAAGGCCCUCGGGUUGUAAACUGCUUUUGUACAGAACGAAAAGGUUUCUACUAAUACUAGGAGCUCAUGACGGUACUGUAAGAAUAAGCACCGGCUAACUACGUGCCAGCCGCCGCUGUAA